GAUGAACGCUGGCGGCGUGCUUAACGCAUGCAAGUCGAACGGAAAGGCUCCUGCUUGCAGGGGUACUCGAGUGGCGAACGGGUGAGUAACACGUGGGUGAUCUGCCCUGCACUUCGGGAUAAGCCUGGGAAACUGGGUCUAAUACCGGAUAGGACGAUGGUUUGGAUGCCAUUGUGGAAAGUUUUUCGGUGUGGGAUGAGCUCGCGGCCUAUCAGCUUGUUGGUGGGGUAAUGGCCUACCAAGGCGUCGACGGGUAGCCGGCCUGAGAGGGUGUACGGCCACAUUGGGACUGAGAUACGGCCCAGACUCCUACGGGAGGCAGCAGUGGGGAAUAUUGCACAAUGGGCGCAAGCCUGAUGCAGCGACGCCGCGGGGGGGAUGACGGCCUUCGGGUUGUAAACUCCUUUCGCUAGGGACGAAGCGUUUUGUGACGGUACCUGGAGAAGAAGCACCGGCUAACUACGUG
rnacentral:rRNA from 1 species